rnacentral:rRNA from 1 species
GCUUACGGCCAUACCAGCCUGAAUACGCCCGAUCUCGUCUGAUCUCGGAAGCUAAGCAGGGUCGGACCUGGUUAGUACUUGGAUGGGAGACCGCCUGGGAAUACCAGGUGCUGUAAGCU